UGACUUGCUCUUCAUUAGAUCAUUUCUAUUUACAUAAUCCUCUGCUAUUCCUAAAUAAAAAUAUUUUAUAGUAUAUAGCUAAUGAAAACAAGGCAAGAGAUUAUAAAACAGUUGAAAUGUAUUGUUAUGUAGAAAGUCAUUCUGGGGAAACAUCUAUUGUCUCAGACCUCCAGCUGAAAAUGUGGUUUUGUUUUCCUCCUCUUUUGAAACACCUGUAGAAGCCAUUGAGCUACUCAUCUCUGUAACAGGCAUGCAAGUAUUUUUCUCCUUAAAUGAAGAAAAUGCAAAAUCAUGCAUUAGGCUCAGUGCCUGUAUCACAUUAUAGCGUGUUAGUCUUAGUCCUUGUUUAGUGCCUUUCAUUUUAUAAGGCAGGAAGUUGACAUUGAAACUGAGAGAGAGAGAUGGCAUCUCUCAGGUCACACAGGCGACAAAUUCACAACUCUGUUGUUCUCUAGACAUACUGUUCUCCUCAAAUACUUCAACCUUUCUGCCUCAGUGCCUUUCCCAUUGUGCCCUUUCCACCUAACAUGGUCUUCACGAGAACUUUCCUUAGCAAAGUCCUUUUUGUAAUGAAAGCCUCUGAUUUAAUCACACAUACACACCUGCACACACACAAACACACACAUGCACAUACAUACACAUAUACACAUGAGUUUAUUAGUUCUGACCAAGCAGUAAUCUGACUCAGGAAACUCCAGGACAGACAGGUCAGGACAGAGAACCCUAAUCUCUCCUGCCUCUGGGCCUUCCACCUUCAGCGGUGAUGGUUGCUCAGCUAUUUCCCAUUUCUAGGUCUCAGUUUCUUCAUCCAUCAAGUUGACUGCUGAUUUAUCAUGUUCAUAUCUAUUCCAGAAGGAAUUUUAGGUAGGAUUUCAACAUGUUAAAGUUAAAAGUUGGGAUUCUGGCUGAGAUAGAGGCCUGUCAACCUGUAUGUUACACAGACCUCACUCACCUCUUCCACUUCUGCUACUAGAGGACCUAACAUUUUAAAUUCAGACACUAGAGGACUAAUCUAGUCAGUACAAGCACCCAAAGGAGAAACCCUCAAAAGAAGCCUGCUUCUUGUACUUACAUCUAACCUCUGGUUCCCCCCACUUACCAUUAGAAAUCUUUCUUUGGUGUGACCCACAACAUGAAGUCCUUUUACAUGACACAGAAACCCAAGAGUGAAAUGACUGUGCUUUAGGAAGCUGGCCCUUCCCCUGUCUGCUGCCACCACUCAUCUCUCAUUUACAGAUGUCUCCUGAGGUCGGUCCUUCCAUUCUUGUCUACUGGUUUUGCAAUAUUUGCCUUCCCUUAGGUUUAAUCAGAGUUGUGAGGACCAUGGCUGGACUCUCUAGCCUGGGCUUUUAUAACUGCUUUAUUGUUGUUUCCAGGAAGGAAGCAGGACCUUUAGCUUUGUCAUUUCUUUAAGAUAAGUAUAUAGAUGCAUCAAGUGACAGUAAGUGCUUUUGAAAGAGGUAGAAGCUGUUUUAUUUUUGUGCGUGUCAUUCUUCUGUAAGAUAAUUGCAGUCACUGGAAGAAGUGUUGUUUGCUUUGCCUGCUCUGUUCAUUUGGACAUUGGAAACUGCAUCUGAGAUCCAUGGAUACUUUUUAAAUUUCAUUUUUCACUUUUAAAUGAAAGUUUACAGAAUCACUAAUCUAAUAGAUAAAUAUAUGAACCCUUUGGGUUAUUUCUACCUGCCUAACUGUAUUCUUGAGCCAGUUUUAGUCUUUCAAACAUGCUAUUGUUUCUCCUCUUUCUAUUUGUCAUUCCAUUUUGUUGUCUUGGCCUAGCUGGAAAUAGCAGAACAAGAUGCCCUUCAUCCCAGUCUGGGUGUUCCCAUUUGCUGGGUGGUCCUUAGCUCCUUAGUUCCUAAGGGUUAACACUGUGGUUCAAUGUCUCCUGUAGAAUUGACAUGGACAAAGCAUCUGCUUGGUUUCUUCAGAUAAUGAGGUUUUGCGGAAAACUGCCCAUAAUGAUAACUGCCUAGUGCUUGCAAGCCCCACUGAUGAAGGCUAAUGAGCACAGAUGGAUGUCUGCAGUCCUCAGGCAGAGAGGCCAGGCAUUGUGAAUUCACUACCCUGGUAUCAAAACUGGCCUUGGACUUUCUUGGUUUUUUUUUUUUUUCCUCCUCUUUCUCCCUUCUUGUCUUUCUUUUAGUAAAAGGUCAGCCCCAGAAGAAUAUUUAUGCAGUAUAAGGUAUUUUAAGAAUGAAGCAAAUUAGAACACAGCUCAGGACAGUGUUGCAGAAAUCAGAAUUGAGUUUCCUGUACUGUAUACAUUAUUUAGUAGAAUUGAUUUUUAAUUUAAUUGACAAGCACUAAAUUAUGUUCUCUCAAAAGCAGAUUUUAAAAAGAGUGUGUUUUAUAAGAAAAUCAAGAAGAAGGAAGACCAAUGGGUGGAUACUUCAUUCCUCCU
ensembl:sense_intronic Hm629797 cDNA sequence HM629797